AACGAACGCUGGCGGCAUGCCUAACACAUGCAAGUCGAACGAGACCUUCGGGUCUAGUGGCGCACGGGUGCGUAACGCGUGGGAACCUGCCCUUAGGUUCGGAAUAACUCCCCGAAAGGGGUGCUAAUACCGGAUAAUGUCUUCGGACCAAAGAUUUAUCGCCUUUGGAUGGGCCCGCGUUGGAUUAGCUAGUUGGUAGGGUAAAAGCCUACCAAGGCGACGAUCCAUAGCUGGUCGGAGAGGAUGAUCAGCCACACUGGGACUGAGACACGGCCCAGACUCCGAGGGGGGGCAGCGGUGGGGAGUAUUGGACGAGGGGCGAAAGCGUGAUCCAGCAGUGCGGCGGGAGUGAUGAAGCCCUUAGGGUUGUAAAGCUCUUUUACCCGGGAUGAUAAUGACGGUACCGGGAGAAUAAGCUCCGGCUAACUCCGUG
rnacentral:rRNA from 1 species